rnacentral:rRNA from 1 species
UACGGAGGAUGCGAGCGUUAUCCGGAUUUAUUGGGUUUAAAGGGUGCGUAGGCGGGAUGCCAAGUCAGCGGUAAGAAUGCGGUGCUCAACGCCGUCGAGCCGUUGAAACUGGCGUUCUUGAGUGGGCGAGAAGUAUGCGGAAUGCGUGGUGUAGCGGUGAAAUGCAUAGAUAUCACGCAGAACUCCGAUUGCGAAGGCAGCAUACCGGCGCCCUACUGACGCUGAGGCACGAAAGCGUGGGUAUCGAACAGG